rnacentral:misc_RNA from 1 species
UUUCCCCUUCGGCUUGCUAAGACAUCGGGAUCUCCUUCACCGUGGUCCUCAAACGAGCCUCGAGCUCCGUCAGGUACACAUCUCACGCACUCGCGCUGCUACACGCACUCUCUGUUCGAUUAAAUAUAGAAGACAACAUGAGGAUAACCUACGUGCUGUUCGGUUUGACGGUGCUGGUCGCGUACGCAGCUUCCGGGCCGGUCGUCAAGAGGGAAGCAGAGUCGGAGGAUCUCAAUCCUUUGAACGAGGUGUACCUCGUGGAACUUGAAGAUGACCAAGCUGCGGACGACGACAGAUCCAACAGAGACAAAAGGAAAAUCGGUGUCGUGAAGCUGGGAGUGUCAAACGGGAUCAUAAACUUCGUCUUUGGUAAAUUGGACUCCUUCCUAGACUCAAAAACCAAGGCUCUGUCAGCGCUGGACGAAGCUAAUAAGGUGAAAAACGCCGCGUACGGAAUCGACGCGAAACAUUCGGCUACCAGUAAAUUCAUCAGCGAACUUGUGGCGGCGAAGAUCAAAGCAGCCAGCGGAAGUAUCGGUCCAGUGAUAAACAGCGCCACAACGUUCAUCAAUGGCGCUAAGACAGGUUUCGCUGGAGCUUUGGUAUCGAAACUUGCACCUUUGAGCUCCAUCGCUGGUGGUUUGUCGGCUGGUGCUGCCGCGAAACACGAACACCACCCGCAUGAGGGUGGAGCCGACCACGGUGGACUAGGAAGCACGGCUGCAAUUCUGGGGAACAUCUUAAGCUCGAAACUCGGUAGUCUGUCGUCCUUGAGCCAAAACCACGGCAGCGGUCAUCACGACUCACCGAGCCACGAGAGUGGAUCAUUCGGGAGCAUAGGCGGAGGGUACGAAUACGACCCACCGCACACGGAAAGGGCGUAUUAUGCGGCUUAGAAAUGUAUGAGAAAAUGGAGACGGAGGACCAUCGACUUUGGACCCGUAAGGGCGAUCGAGCAGCAACGCACGCUUGACAGAGGAUCCCUGACGCUAAAAAACCAACCAACUAAAAAACCAAAAGCAAACUAAAACCGAUGGACGCGCUAUGCAAACAGAAGCAGACAAAAUUGCUACGGUCUCUACUACCACGGAGGAUAUCCCCGAGUUCGAUAGGAUGAAAGUGUCCUUGGAGGUACCGGCGCAAGCGUUCG